rnacentral:rRNA from 1 species
UACGUAGGGUGCGAGCGUUAAUCGGAAUUACUGGGCGUAAAGCGGGCGCAGACGGUUACUUAAGCAGGAUGUGAAAUCCCCGGGCUUAACCUGGGAACUGCGUUCUGAACUGGGUAGCUAGAGUAUGUCAGAGGGGGGUAGAAUUCCACGUGUAGCAGUGAAAUGCGUAGAGAUGUGGAGGAAUACCGAUGGCGAAGGCAGCCUCCUGGGAUAAUACUGACGUUCAUGCCCGAAAGCGUGGGUAGCAAACAGG